GAUGAACGCUGGCGGCGUGCCUAAUACAUGCAAGUCGAGCGAACGGACGAGAAGCUUGCUUCUCUGAUGUUAGCGGCGGACGGGUGAGUAACACGUGGAUAACCUACCUAUAAGACUGGGAUAACUUCAGGAAACCGGAGCUAAUACCGGAUAAUAUUUUGAACCGCAUGGUUCAAAAGUGAAAGACGGUCUUGCUGUCACUUAUAGAUGGAUCCGCGCUGCAUUAGCUAGUAGGUAAGGUAACGGCUUACCAAGGCAACGAUGCAUAGCCGACCUGAGAGGGUGAUCGGCCACACUGGAACUGAGACACAGUCCAGACUCCUACGGGAGGCAGCAGUAGGGAAUCUUCCGCAAUGGACGAAAGCCUGACGGAGCAACGCCGCGUGAGUGAUGAAGGUCUUCGGAUCGUAAAACUCUGUUAUUAGGGAAGAACAUAUGUGUAAGUAACUGUGCACAUCUUGACGGUACCUAAUCAGAAAGCCACGGCUAACUACGUG
rnacentral:rRNA from 1 species